rnacentral:rRNA from 1 species
GACGAACGCUGGCGGCGUGCUUAACACAUGCAAGUCGAACGGAAAGGCCCUGCGUUCGCUGUACUCGAGUGGCGAACGGGUGGGUAAGUCACAGGUGGUCUGCCCUGCUCUUCGAGUUGAGUCUCGUAGACAGGGUCUAGUAACUGCUAUGACCUUUCUUGUAGUGCAGGGGGCGGUAGGGAUUCUCGGUGUGGGUUUAGCUCGAGGCCGAUCAGCUUGUGGGUUGGGUAAUGGCCUACGAAGGGGUCGACGGGUAGCCGGCCUUGGAGGGUGGACGGGCACAAUGGGCCUGCGAUACGGCCCAGACUCGAACGGGCGGCAGCAGUGGAGAACCUUGCACAAUGGGCGGAAGCGUGAUGCAGAGACGCCGCGUGGGUGAUGCCGUCCUUUGGGUUGUAAACCUCUUUCGACAGAGACGAAGCCUUGGUGACGGUACCUGAAUAAGAAGCACCGGCUAACUACGUG